CCUACGGGGGGCAGCAGUGGGGAAUAUUGGGCAAUGGGCGCAAGCCUGACCCAGCAACGCCGCGUGAAGGAAGAAGGCUCUCGGGUUGUAAACUUCUUUUAUCAGGGACGAAGCAAGUGACGGUACCUGAUGAAUAAGCCACGGCUAACUACGUGCCAGCAGCCGCGGUAAUACGUAGGUGGCAAGCGUUAUCCGGAUUUACUGGGUGUAAAGGGCGUGUAGGCGGGAAAGCAAGUCAGAUGUGAAAACCAUGGGCUCAACCUGUGGCCUGCCUUUGAAACUGGUUUACUUGAGUACUGGAGAGGCAGGCGGAAUUCCUAGUGUAGCGGUGAAAUGCGUAGAUAUUAGGAGGAACACCAGUGGCGAAGGCGGUCUGCUGGACAGCAACUGACGCUGAGGCGCGAAAGCGUGGGGAGCAAACAGGAUUAGAUACCCGGGUAGUC
rnacentral:rRNA from 1 species